GAGUACCUGUCAGGUUAACUGGAGAUGUCAAAAUAGUAUCGGAAUGCGGGAGGUACAAAGAGGACAGUAUGGGUACGAUGCAAUGACAAAAUCCUAAGAACCUACGCUAAGUGAUUGUACCUAGCUACAUGCACAAGAUGUCUCGACAGUCGUGGCCUGAACUUGUUGGGAAGCCAUGGAAAGAAGCUGAAGAAGCUAUACGGAGGGAUUACCCAAAUGUAUCGAUUCAAGUGCUGCCUGAGAACUCCAGUGUGAACCGAGAUGUCCGACCGGACCGAGUGCGGAUCAUCAUGAAGGGAGACGGUACCGUGGCCAAGCCUCCGCACAUUGGAUAGGACUGAGAUGGAGAAGCUGAACCCGAUUCAGUUACAAGAUUCAAGUCCUACUUUCAUCUCUAUCCGGAUCCCAAUGUGAAGGGAGACGGUACCGUGCCCAAGCCUCCGCACAUUGGCUAGGACUGAGAUGGAGAAGCUGAACCCGAUUAAUUUACAAGAUUCAAGUCCUACUUUCAUCUCUAUCCGGAUCCCAAUGUGAAGGGAGAUGGUACCGUGGCAAAGCCUCCACACAUUGGAUAGGACUGAGAUGGAGAAGCUGAACCCGAUUAAUUUACAAGAUUCAAGUCCUACUUUCAUCUCUAUCCGGAUCCCAAUGUGAAGGGAGAUGGUACCGUGGCCAAGCCUCCGCACAUUGGAUAGGACUGAGAUGGAGAAGCUGAACCCGAUUAAUUUACAAGAUUAAUCAAAAGGUGAUUAAUCCAUUCACCUGAUGAAGGAGUAAGCAUAUACUCCGAAAUGUUGUGUUCCUCAUAACAAAGAAGUUGACAUCCAUAUAUUCUCUUCCUUAUGUGUAUCACUUCUAAAUGCCUUUCAAAGACCUGAAGAUUAACCAAUCCUACUUUCAUCUUUAUCAGGAUUCCAAUGUGAAGGGACAUGGCAACGUGGCUCAGCCUUUGCACAUUGGAUGAGAUGGAGAUGGAGAUGGAGAACGUGAACCGAUUCAUCUUUUUAUUUAUCCGAUGCACAUUAAAAAAUGACAGGAUCCUUUUGUCUCUGCCUGUCUUGUUUCAGUUGAAUAAAGAUGCAUGUCUUGCAAGACUUGAAGCAAGUUGUAUGAAAGAGAUAUAUGUCAUGCCACCAGUAUUUAUGUGUAUGGGUUGUGAGAUUAUAACCCAGGACAAAUAUAAGACUUUUUGUGCCUCUGGAAACAUGUUGUGUUGUAUGUUUGAAAGAGCCUGAUGUUGAUUCUGCUUAUCAUUGACCAGUAACCAUUCUCUAUAGACUAUAGACAUAGUAGUAACUUCAUAUUCUAAUACUGGUAUGCAUGGUUACAAGACAAAUACUCAUGUAUGUAGUUAUGUUGUUGAAAUAUUAUUUCGUGGAUUUGUUUGUUUUUUGUGUUUCUAAUUUUAUAGGCAAGAAUGCCAAAAUACACAGAUGCAGGAGGCUAAUAAGAUUAACAAAGACACCAACAUGAAGACACUAGCAAAAAGUGUUUCCUGAUCAUGAAUCUCCACGUUUGUGUUAUAAUUUUUUUAUUAUUUCAUACUUUAAAGUUUACACUGUCAUCUUGAUGAUUGGCUGAAUGGCUACACCUGAACUGAUACAUGUAUUUGGAGUUCACACACCUGUGAAUGGACAGAAAAGUUCACACAAUGUGAACAAUUUUUGUGUGAAAUUGAACGUGAACUUUUGCCGGAACUACUUUCUUAGACGCUCGCAAGCUACAAUGUUCACAGAGUUUUACCACCUCUUUUAAGUCGUUUACACUUAGCUGAUGUAAAGUUCUUAAUAAGAUUUUCCUAACAUUCAGGAAAAUGUCGUAUUUAAUAGAAGAAACAAAUAUUUGUUCAUUGCUUCUAAAAAUUGUUGAUGUGUAAUGGUAGAAGUCUUGGUCAUUCAAUGUCGACUCCUCCCCGAGUAUUAUUCUGAAGUGAUGCCAGUGUGUUCAGUAUGUCUACGUCUUCUCUGCCAAACCACAUUAUUCUUUGUUCUGUACUUUUGUAAGGUGGAUGGAGAAUGGUCUUUCCUGAAGAUGUCAAGGAUGUCCAGAGUAUGUAACUUUUUCUAAGAUAUAUUACGUCAUUUACAUAUAAACAAACUAACUUCCAAAUUGAAGAAAGGCUGUUUGUGUCCAUUCAAUUGUGCUAGGCACUUAAUAACUGCCAUGCCAAUUCACUUUUUACAAUAGAGGCCUAUUGGGAAAUCCCUCAGUUUUUAUAGGUUUGCAGUGAGUAAUUAAUAGUUAAUUUUAUGUUUUAAUCAUAUAUUGAUAAAAUGUUUAUCUGUUAACAAACCUAAUACCAAAUUCGACGUAAUAAGCGCCCCGCUCUAAUAAGCGCCCAUGGUGAUAUUUGCUAAUAUAUUGGCUCGUGAACAAUCCCAAUUAGCACCCUUUCUGAUUGAUCAA